GAGGCUGUCCGAGGCUAUAUUAGGGAUUAGGGUUAGUUUUUCGGGGCCAUUUGAGCUUUGAAGGCUAAGGUCAACAAGUUUAGGUUUUUGGCAAUGGUUUUUGUACAAGUUUUGUAUGAUUUGGAGUUUAUAUGAAGGAGAUAUAGGCACUCAAAGUUAAGGUAUUGAUUUGAGAGCUACUGUCACUCUUUUUAGCACAACGCACGCAUACAGAAGGCAAUUGAAGAUCGAUGACUGUGACUAGAGAGAGCACUUUUGCAGCUAUACUUUUUGUAUACAACUUACUAGAUUCAAAGUUGAAAUGAAGGAGUUAUUGGAUUUUGAAGUGAGUGCCUGCAAUCUAAGGGUAGUAAGUGACCCGAUUUACUAGUAGUUGUGUCUUGAGCUAUAUCUUGAGCAAUUUGAUAAGAUUUUGGCUAAAAUAUUAUAAAAAAUGUGUAAAUUUAUGUUAUUAAACUUUAUACAUAAAUUUGAUGAUAUUUAAAUAUAAGGUUCUUGAGAUAUUAAAAAAAUA
rnacentral:lncRNA from 1 species